CAAUCGCGUAUAUUAAAGUUGUUGCAGUUAAAAAGCUCGUAGUUGGAUUUCUGGUGGGAGCGAUCGGUCUGGCGCUUAGCGCGAGUACUUGCAUCGUCUCCGGCCAUCCUUGGGGAGAGUCUGUCUGGCAUUAAGUUGUCGGGCAGAGGAUCCUCAUCGUUUACUGUGAAAAAAUUAGAGUGUUCAAAGCAGGCUUAUGCCGUUGAAUAUAUUAGCAUGGAAUAAUAAGAUAGGACUUUGGUACUAUUUUGUUGGUUUGCGCACCAAAGUAAUGAUUAAUAGGGACAGUUGGGGGUAUUCGUAUUCCGUUGUCAGAGGUGAAAUUCUUGGAUUUACGGAAGAAGAACUACUGCGAAAGCAUUUACCAAGGAUGUUUUCAUUAA
rnacentral:rRNA from 1 species